UGAGGAAUAUUGGUCAAUGGGUGCAAGCCUGAACCAGCCAUCCCGCGUGAAGGACGACUGCCCUAUGGGUUGUAAACUUCUUUUGUAUAGGGAUAAACCUACCCUCGUGAGGGUAGCUGAAGGUACUAUACGAAUAAGCACCGGCUAACUCCGUGCCAGCAGCCGCGGCAAUACGGAGGGUGCAAGCGUUAUCCGGAUUUAUUGGGUUUAAAGGGUCCGUAGGCGGACUUAUAAGUCAGUGGUGAAAGCCUGUCGCUUAACGAUAGAACUGCCAUUGAUACUGUAAGUCUUGAGUAUAUUUGAGGUAGCUGGAAUAAGUAGUGUAGCGGUGAAAUGCAUAGAUAUUACUUAGAACACCAAUUGCGAAGGCAGGUUACCAAGAUAUAACUGACGCUGAGGGACGAAAGCGUGGGGAGCGAACA
rnacentral:rRNA from 1 species